GGGGAAGUCUGUGGUAUCACCCUGUGUUUUGUUGUUUUGAUUCACCCAGAUCCCCUUAUCCAGGCCACCUUUGGAAACCAGCCCACCUGCUACACCAACCUUUUCCCAACACCGUGGUCCCACCCCUACCUUCGCUGCUGAAAAACCGCAUUGUGUGGGGGUCUGGAAUCUUCUGGACUCCUGGGACCCCAAUCCGCUUGCCUCUUGUACCCCUCUUGCAGAGCAAUGAGCCGAUGGGGUGCCAGGCAUUAGAAACCUUCCCUCCAAUCCUCACCAUGUCUCCAUUUUGCCAAAGAAGAAACUGAGGUUAAGGUCGCGAUGCUCUGGCCAGCAUCACAGGUAAACGAUUUUGGCAGUGCCCGGAGAAAGAUAGAAGUAAGACCUAAAGAGGAACUUUCCGCAUGUUAUGGGAGAGCCCCUGGGGCGAGGAGGCGAGGGCAGCCUUCCCCAGGCCAAGGGAGCAGCCAUCGCUCUUGGAUCUGUUUUUCCUCAAGCGUCUGUCCUGUGGGGCCUAGUCCCCAAGCGGCAGUCCUGGACCUAACGGGAGAAGGGGCUGGGGGAAGAGGGCGCACCCCCAGCCCGGGACCCACAGCAGCCCUAGCCAGUCCCCCACUCUCUCCCUCUGUAGGGGCCUCUCUCUGAGAUCGGGUCCUCCUCCUGCAGGGCAGCAGAGUGGAAGCCAGGGCCUGGGACCCUCUGGCUGGGCAAGGAGGGACUGGAGUCCGGCUCCCGGUGACCCCGUCCCCAGUGCCAGCGGUGGGGUCGCCUGUGGCGGCCCGGACAGGCCACGGGUCCCUCUCCCCAAGUCCCAUUACGUUGUAUUUAUGUUUCAUUUUAUAGUUUUUUUUUCCUCCUCCCUUAUUAUUGUCUC
rnacentral:lncRNA from 1 species